GAUGAACGCUGGCGGCGUGCCUAAUACAUGCAAGUCGAGCGAACAGACGAGGAGCUUGCUCCUCUGACGUUAGCGGCGGACGGGUGAGUAACACGUGGAUAACCUACCUAUACGACUGGGAUAACUUCGGGAAACCGGAGCUAAUACCGGAUAAUAUAUUGAACCGCAUGGUUCAAUAGUUAAAGACGGUUUUGCUGUCGCUUAUAGAUGGAUCCGCGCCGCAUUCGCUAGUUGGUAAGGUAACGGCUUACCAAGGCGCGGAUGCGUAACCGACCUGAGAGGGUGAUCCGCCACACUGGAACUGAGACACGGUCCAGACUCCUACGGGAGGCAGCAGUAGGGAAUCUUCCGCAAUGGGCGAAAGCCUGACGGAGCAACACCGCGUGAGUGAUGAAGGUCUUCGGAUCGUAAAACUCUGUUAUUAGGGAAGAACAAAUGUGUAAGUAACUAUGCACGUCUUGACGGUACCUAAUCAGAAAGCCACGGCUAACUACGUG
rnacentral:rRNA from 1 species